GAGCAGAUCAGGUUUGCGAAUUCUCGCGUGAAUAGUGACUUUUCAUGCAUGAACAAUAGUUUUUCACAGCUGUUUUACCAUGACAUAAUUGUGAUUAAGGCGUUUCAAUUCUGUUUUAGUAGGUUGAAAACAUCUUUUAAAAUUCUAGUAUUAAGUUUAAUACUAACUUAUUAACUAAAAAUGAUAUUGUUUCUCUUUAACUUCUCUGCAUAACAUAUGUAGCAGUUACAAGUUAUCAAUUGAAAGCAAAGCAAUUUUCUUUCUUUUGCUGAUUUAAGUAACUUUUGAGCUCACUCUUCAAGCAAUACUCCAAUUCCUUUGGAGCUCACUUUUGAGCUGUGCAAGCUGAUUUUCAGGCAGGACCACACUCACUAAUCGACCGACGUUAUUAGUACUUGCAGGAAGCACCAAAACCAGCCCUUCAUCACCAACCCCACUAACACCAUAAUUUGCAUAAACUGGUUUUUGUCCCUUCAAUUCAAGCCUAUAAAUCUCUGCCUCUUCCAAGUUCAUGAAUGUGAGUUUUGCUCCGUAAGCUAUGAAGUCCGAAUUUAUCCCGCCCUCCUCCCUCCCUGUCAUCUCCUCAAUUGCACCAUUCUCUUCUGCCCUUUUGUUCAUCAUCAGCUCUACCAAAUCUGACACUUCAGCUUCUGCAACCAAGAAAUUUGCUUCAACUGUGCUCCACACCAUGUCAUUAGUCCGAAUUUCGAAUUCCCCCUUGUGCGCAUUUUUGGUACAAAUUGUCACCCUUCUUAUCUGCUCUGAGCUUUCCUUAAUCUUUGACAAGGUUUUCCAUAUGAUAGCAGAAAGAACUUCAAAAGCAGAGGAGACUUUUGCCGAUUGGUUGCUUGGAGGACAAGAAAUGUUUGAGACCAAAUGAUCAAGUUUCUCAGCAGAAACAUGAAAAAUGUGUUUCCUCAUCUUGUAAUUGUUGGGUGUCACCCAGUAAUCACCUACUGGAUCAACCCUUUUCAGAGAAAAUGGUGUUUUGGGAACUGAAGAAAGUGAUGGGAAUUCAUGUUUUCCGGGAGGUGGCACGUGGAGGAGCUUCCGCGGCACGUGACCGGCCAUGAUCUUCCCCCACAUGUUCAUGAAGUCUGAGGCAGAAAACGCAUCUCCAAGGACGUUGGCCCAGCUGAGUCCCACUGCCAUUCCUCCACAUUUGAACCAAGUGAACUGCUUGCAAAUUACCACAUGAAAAAACGACCAUGUAAAUAUGUGCAAAGAGGAUUCAUUUGUUCCUAAUUAGUCUAAAGUCCAGACCCUUUCCCGGCAGAUCAUCUAAUCAAUAUGGUUGAAAAUAACAAAACUUGUCCAAUCAGGUCUCUGUCAAAAGUUCCACGUAGCGAUUGUGAUUUACGCCUAUUUCUGGCAUGUGCUUAUCACACAUACACAAUUAGAUAAUUAUGAAAAAAAGACGCGUAUAACUCAUAUCAUUGUAGCUACUAAUUAUACGUUACUUAUACGAUUAUAUAUGAUUGUACUCCCAGCCUAAAUGACAGAUUCUCUCUUAAAACCACGACACCACAUCGUCAUGACUUCAAUCAAUCACAACGAAGUGUUACGAUUUAUUUUUCCUUUGCUUCUCUCUCCUAUUAGUUUCUACUAAUUGCAACCGGAGUAGAUGCCACUAUAAUUGUGCUUGAAUGAUUGAGAGAUUUUCUCCUCUGCACGCCUACUCCAGUUAUGAUUGAGUAGGCACCAAGAUCUACAAAUUUAGAAAUACAGCUAUUUUUGUUGUAUUGGAUUUAUACAAUUUUUUUUGAAUUAACGAAUAGCAUGUACAUAUACUGAAAUACCAAGAACAAAAGAUGAGCUAAAACAAGUACAUAGUAUAGUUAUUACCUGUAAAAAGACCAAAGGAGAGUAACCAAGAUCAGGACCAAGGGAUUGAUUAUAAGCAAGCCCAUCAAAGAGAGAAGAGUCCUCCACAGCCCUGGCGAACCAUUCAUCAACUGUUUCUUCAGAAUGCGCUUCUACAAUUCUCACACCGCCGUCGUUACACUUGAUGAACGGCCUCCCCG
rnacentral:lncRNA from 1 species